AGUUUUCGGACAAUGGAUGUAGAGGAAAGCGGCGGACGGGUGAGUAACGCGUGAGUAACCUGCCUUCAGGAGGGGGAUAACAUUCCGAAAGGAAUGCUAAUACCGCAUGACAUUGUAUUUCCGCAUGGAAUAACAAUCAAAGAUUUAUCGCCUGAAGAUGGACUCGCGUCUGAUUAGAUAGUUGGUGGGGUAAAGGCCUACCAAGUCGACGAUCAGUAGCCGAACUGAGAGGUUGAUCGGCCACAUUGGGACUGAGACACGGCCCAGACUCC
rnacentral:rRNA from 1 species